AUGUUUCUACAGUGCCAAAAUGGACAUACUUUAUGUUCGACAUGCAAGGCUAGGGUGCACAACCGUUGCCCUACAUGCAGACAAGAGCUUGGCGACAUCAGGUGCUUGGCAUUGGAGAAAGUAGCAGAAUCACUAGAGCUUCCCUGUAAGUACUGCUCUUUAGGUUGUCCAGAGAUCUUCCCAUACUACAGCAAGAUAAAACAUGAAGGGCAGUGCAGCUUCAGGCCAUAUAACUGCCCCUAUGCUGGUUCUGAAUGUGCUGUGGCUGGUGAUAUACCUUUCCUUGUUGCACAUUUGAGGGAUGAUCACAAAGUCGAUAUGCACAGCGGCUGCACGUUCAACCAUAGAUAUGUCAAGUCCAAUCCACGAGAGGUUGAAAAUGCCACCUGGAUGCUAACAGUGUUCCAUUGUUUUGGACAAUACUUCUGCCUGCACUUUGAGGCCUUCCAGCUCGGCAUGGCACCAGUAUACAUGGCUUUCCUUCGUUUCAUGGGGGACGAGAACGAAGCAAGGAACUACACCUACAGCCUCGAGGUUGGUGGUAACGGUAGGAAGAUGGUAUGGGAGGGCACCCCUAGAAGCAUUCGUGACAGUCACCGGAAGGUUCGGGACAGUCAUGAUGGCCUCAUCAUCCAGAGGAACAUGGCGCUGUUCUUCUCCGGCGGUGACAGGAAGGAGCUGAAGCUGAGGGUGACUGGACGGAUCUGGAAAGAGCAGCCCAAUCCGGAGGGAACCUGUAUACCCAACCUUUGUAGCUGA
rnacentral:rRNA from 1 species